rnacentral:rRNA from 1 species
UACGUAGGGUGCGAGCGUUGUCCGGAAUUAUUGGGCGUAAAGAGCUCGUAGGCGGUCUGUCGCGUCGGUCGUGAAAACUUGGGGCUUAACCCUGAGCUUGCGGUCGAUACGGGCAUGACUGGAGUUCGGUAGGGGAGACUGGAAUUCCUGGUGUAGCGGUGAAAUGCGCAGAUAUCAGGAGGAACACCGGUGGCGAAGGCAGGUCUCUGGGCCAUAACUGACGCUGAGAAGCGAAAGCAUGGGGAGCGAACAGG